GCGCGCAUAGUUUAACGGUAAAAUCGGCGUCUUAUACACGCUAGUCCUUGGUUCGACUCCAAGUGCGCGCA
rnacentral:tRNA from 1 species